rnacentral:rRNA from 1 species
UGGGGAAUAUUGGACAAUGGGCGGAAGCCUGAUCCAGCCAUGCCGCGUGUGUGAAGAAGGCCUUUUGGUUGUAAAGCACUUUAAGCGAGGAGGAGGCUACUUGGAUUAAUACUCUAGGAUAGUGGACGUUACUCGCAGAAUAAGCACCGGCUAACUCUGUGCCAGCAGCCGCGGUAAUACAGAGGGUGCGAGCGUUAAUCGGAUUUACUGGGCGUAAAGCGUGCGUAGGCGGCUUCUUAAGUCGGAUGUGAAAUCCCUGAGCUUAACUUAGGAGUUGCAUUCGAUACUGGGAAGCUAGAGUAUGGGAGAGGAUGGUAGAAUUCCAGGUGUGGCGGUGAAAUGCGUAGAGAUCUGGAGGAAUACCGAUGGCGAGGGCAGGCAUCUGGCCUAAUACUGACGCUGAGGUACGAGAGCAUGGGGAGCGAACAGA